rnacentral:rRNA from 1 species
UGGAUUGGUGGCCUUCGGGAACUCUGACACAGGUGCUGCAUGGCUGUCGUCAGCUCGUGCGUGAGAUGUUGGGUUAAGUCCGUAACGAGCGCAACCCUUGUCCUUAGUUACCAGCACGUUAUGGUGGGCACUCUAAGGAGACUGCCGGUGACAACCGGAGGAAGGUGGGGAUGACGUCAAGUCAUCAUGGCCCUUACGGCCUGGGCUACACACGUGCUACAAUGGUCGGUACAAAGGGUUGCCAAGCCGCGAGGUGGAGCUAAUCCCAUAAAACCGAUCGUAGUCCGGAUCGCAGUCUGCAACUCGACUGCGUGAAGUCGGAAUCGCUAGUAAUCGUGAAUCAGAAUGUCACGGUGAAUACGUUCCCGGGCCUU